UACGGGGGGGGCAAGCGUUGUUCGGAAUUACUGGGCGUAAAGAGCUCGUAGGUGGUUUGUCGCGUUGUUCGUGAAAACUCACGGCUUAACUGUGAGCGUGCGGGCGAUACGGGCAGACUGGAGUACUGCAGGGGAGACUGGAAUUCCUGGUGUAGCGGUGGAAUGCGCAGAUAUCAGGAGGAACACCGGUGGCGAAGGCGGGUCUCUGGGCAGUAACUGACGCUGAGGAGCGAAAGCGUGGGGAGCGAACAGG
rnacentral:rRNA from 1 species